rnacentral:misc_RNA from 1 species
GUGAAUCAUCGAAUCUUUGAACGCAAAUUGCACUUUCUGGUAUUCCGGAAAGUAUGCCUGUUUGAGGGUCAGUUAAAUAAAAAUCGGUGUUGUUUCUGCCUUUCGUGGUUACGCGUCGGAAUUGGGUCGUCUUACCUUCGUUUAAGUGACUUAAAAUUUUUUCAUGAUUUUCGAACGGAUGUAAAUCGCUUACGUACGUUUGAGAUAUCAAAUACUUAUGAGGUUCGGUCAUUCCCAUGGGUCGCGCCUAUAAUUUUUCAUGAAAUGACCUCUAAU